GGUGAGCGGCCCCGCCCGUAAGGACGGGGACUAAACCACAAGUCCGGUCGCAAGUCCGG
rnacentral:ribozyme from 1 species